CAUGGGAAGCCGAGUCGAGGCGCCGUGAUCCCAGCCAGAUCUAGAAAGCUUCUGUAUGCUGAGAAAGGAGGCCUACUGUACUAUGUCCACUAGACGGAACCUAAAAGGUCCGCCCCUGCUACAGGCCGCAAGGAAUGUUCUGAAACAAUCCAUGGCACAGCUGCAGAGCUAUGGAAGGGGCCUGAACCCUAACUCUCAGUACCUG
rnacentral:lncRNA from 1 species